CCAUGCAUGUCUAAGUACAUGCCGUAGUAAGGCGAAACCGCGAAUGGCUCAUUAAAUCAGUUAUGGUUCCUUGGAUCGUACUUCCUUACUUGGAUAACUGUGGCAAUUCUAGAGCUAAUACAUGCAGCAGAGCUCCGACCUUCACAGGGACGAGCGCUUUUAUUAGACCAAAACCAAUCGGACUCCUCCGUGGGUCCGUCAAACGUGGUGACUCUGUAUAACUUUGGGCUGAUCGCACGGGCUUGUCCCGGCGACGUAUCUUUCAAGUGUCUGCCUUAUCAACUGUCGAUGGUAGGUUACGCGCCUACCAUGGUCGUAACGGGUAACGGGGGAUCAGGGUUCGAUUCCGGAGAGGGAGCCUGAGAAACGGCUACCACAUCCAAGGAAGGCAGCAGGCGCGCAAAUUACCCACUCCCGGAACGGGGAGGUAGUGACGAAAAAUAACAAUACGGGACUCUUUUGAGACCCCGUAAUUGGAAUGAGAACACUUUAAAUCCUUUAGCGAGGAUCCAUUGGAGGGAAAGUCUGGUGUCAGCAGCUGCGGUAACUCCAGCUCCAAUAGCGUAUAUUAAAGUUGUUGCGGUUAAAAAGCUCGUAGUUGGAUCUCAGUUCGAGACGGGUGGUCCGCCUCAUGGUGGUCACUGCCUGUUCUCAACACCGGCCGGUUUCUCUGGAUGAUCUUCACCGGUUGUCUUGAGUGACCGGCAAGUUUACUUUGAAAAAAUUAGAGUGCUCAAAGCAGGCGCGACGCCUGGAUAAUGGUGCAUGGAAUAAUGGAAUAGGACCUCGGUUCUAUUUUGUUGGUUUUUCGGAACACGAGGUAAUGAUUAAGAGGGACAGACGGGGGCAUUCGUAUUGCAGCGCUAGAGGUGAAAACUUAAAGGAAUUGACGGAAGCGCACACAAGGCAUGGGGCCUGCGGUUUAAUUUGACUCAACACGGCGCAACUCACCCGGCCCGGACACAGGAAGGAUUGACAGAUUAAGAGCUCUUUCUUGAUUCUGUGAUAGGUGGUGCAUGGCCGUUUCUAGUUGGUGGAGUGAUUUGUCUGCUUUAUUGCGAUAACGAGCGAGAUUCCAUCCUACUAAAUAGACGCUCCCAUCGCAUUAAGUGGGACGUUCUUCUUAGAGGGACAAGCGGUGUUCAGCCGCACGAAACGGAGCAAAAACAGGUCAGGAUGCCCUUAGAUGUUCGGGGCCACACGCGCGCCACAUUGAAGGAAUCAGCGUGUGCUUUCCCUGUCCGACAGGACUGGGUAACCCUCGCAACCUCCUUCGUGCUGGGGAUAGGGGCUUGUAACUGUUCCCCUUGAACGAGGAAUGCCCAGUAAGCAUGAGUCAUCAGCUCGUGUUGAUUACGUCCCUGCGCUUUGUACACACCGCCCGUCGCUAUUAUCGAUGAAUGUUGGAGUGAGAUCUUCGGACUGGUUUUCCUUAUUGGAUUUUAUCCGAAACUGAUGGCCGGAAAGAUGACCGAACUUGAAUAUUUAGAGAAAAUAAAAGUCGUAACAAGGCUUCC
rnacentral:rRNA from 1 species